GAUGAACGCUGGCGGCGUGCCUAAUACAUGCAAGUCGAGCGAACAGACGAGGAGCUUGCUCCUCUGACGUUAGCGGCGGACGGGUGAGUAACACGUGGAUAACCUACCUAUAAGACUGGGAUAACUUCGGGAAACCGGAGCUAAUACCGGAUAAUAUAUUGAACCGCAUGGUUCAAUAGUGAAAGACGGUUUUGCUGUCACUUAUAGAUGGAUCCGCGCCGCAUUAGCUAGUUGGUAAGGUAACGGCUUACCAAGGCAACGAUGCGUAGCCGACCUGAGAGGGUGGUCGGCCACAAUGGAACUGAGAAACGGUCCAGACUCCUAAGGGAGGCAGCAGUAGGGAAUCUUCCGCAAUGGGCGGAAGCCUGACGGAGCCACGCCGCGGGAGUGAUGAAGGUCUUCGGAUCGUAAAACUCUGUUAUUAGGGAAGAACAAAUGUGUAAGUAACUAUGCAAGUCUUGACGGUACCUAAUCAGAAAGCCACGGCUAACUACGUG
rnacentral:rRNA from 1 species